rnacentral:rRNA from 1 species
GACGAACGCUGGCGGCGUGCUUAACACAUGCAAGUCGAGCGGUAAGGCCCUUUCGGGGGUACGACGAGCGGCGAACGGGUGAGUAACACGUGGGCAACCUGCCUUUAGCUCUGGGAUAAGCCUGGGAAACUGGGUCUAAUACCGGAUAUGACCCUAUGGCGCAUGUUGUGGGGUGGAAAGCCUUGUGCGGCUAGGGAUGGGCCCGCGGCCUAUCAGCUUGUUGGUGGGGUGAUGGCCUACCAAGGCGACGACGGGUAGCCGGCCUGAGAGGGCGACCGGCCACACUGGGACUGAGACACGGCCCAGACUCCUACGGGAGGCAGCAGUGGGGAAUCUUGCGCAAUGGGCGAAAGCCUGACGCAGCGACGCCGCGUGGGGA